CCUACGGGUGGCUGCAGUGGGGAAUUUUGGACAAUGGGCGCAAGCCUGAUCCAGCAAUGCCGCGUGUGUGAAGAAGGCCUUCGGGUUGUAAAGCACUUUUGUCCGGAAAGAAAUCCGUCUGGCUAAUACCCGGACGGGAUGACGGUACCGGAAGAAUAAGCACCGGCUAACUACGUGCCAGCAGCCGCGGUAAUACGUAGGGUGCGAGCGUUAAUCGGAAUUACUGGGCGUAAAGCGUGCGCAGGCGGCUUUGUAAGACAGAUGUGAAAUCCCCG
rnacentral:rRNA from 1 species